CGAAAUUUAUUAGGGGAAAAUCCAGAUUCGUAGUCGUCAGAGUAGUCCAGGGUCAUAGAGCCAGUACGGAGAGUCCGAGGAUACAUGAUUAAACAAACACACAAGUACACGACGGCAAACAAGGGAAUCGGACUAUAACAAAAGACGCUAGGAAAACUCGGGGCUAAGAAAGACGAAGGCUAGGAUACACGGAGUACAAACCUACAGUGCAAAAAGAGGCCAGAUUUGGAGCAAGCAGGAAGGCUACCUCCUUUCUCCUGGAAGAUCUAUGGACAGCCAGAUCAUUGCUGUGUGGGCCUGCAAAACCAAGCCUUAUGCUUAGCCAAGCAAGUGAUCCAACUUCUGGCAAGAUAACAUUGAAGGACACAUUGAAUUAAAAUAGUGCAUAAUAACUCCAUACACAUGCAAAGUUGAUGUUACUAAUAAUCUGUAAUUAUUGUAAAACAAAUAAGAUUAGGGAAUUCCCUCAUACCUCCAUUUUGUUGAGUAAUCAGUCAGUCACUAAUCAAGCUCAUUAGUUCUCUUUCAUCCUUAAUAGGUUGUUUAAAUCAAUUUAAAAUAAAUUAUAAAAUAUUUAAAUAAAUUUAGAUAUAUUUUCUUUCCUUUUCUAAAAUCAAGCCUUCUUGAUUCAUGAGUCUUGUUUUUAAAAAUUCUAGUGAAUUUGAUACAUAUGGUCCAUAUUCACCUAUGUUCAUCAUUUCAUGUAUGAUCAACUCCAUUAUUGCUGACUAAUCAAUAAACAUUCCAUUAAUUGUAGAGCUUUUA